GAAUUUGUGUUAUCAAAUCUGUUGGGAAAGUUUGAUUAUUGUGGCUUUGGGAGCUUUUGGAACUUAUUUGUGCUUGUUGGAGUGGAUUUGAAAGCUUGGAUUG